GAUUGGAGCUCAGAAACUCGUCAGGAAACAUUUGUUUAAAAACAUCCAGGUUAGCUAGUUAACUUGUAAAUGUGGUUCUUCUUUCUAGUCUAAAUAACUGAGAAACUGUCUUUUAGAUUUUUCAUUUCUUGCUAGCUACAUUACUUUUCAAUACGAUCACAUUGUUGUAACGAUAUCAGAACGUUGUUGUUACACUUGGAUACUACUGCCGUUCGCUAGCUAACGCCUAGCGUAGCUACCGUUCGGUAGCAAGGCAAUUUUCGUUUCCAUAUAAGGUUAGCUUUUUGCGUUAUACACGACCGUUCAUGUGAACGUAUAGUGUGAGAUUCGAUGCCUCCUGCAAGCAAACGGGCGAGAAAAGAGGACUCACCGCUGGAAUUGGCGUGUGAGUGGGGGUCCUGCCAAGAGUCGUUCGAUCGGAUGCAGGAGUUCUGCGAGCAUGUGGAGGGUCACCUCAAGGCGCUGGACAUUGAGGACGGGGAAAAGUACUCAUUUGAGGAGCUCAGCUGUCUAUGGAUAGAUUGUGGGUUCUGCUCUGUGGAGAGUGCUGAGGAGUUUAAGCGCCACGUCUAUUUCCACUGUUACCACACCAAGCUGAAGCAGUGGGGCCAGGGGGUACUCAAGGCCCAGCCCAGCCUCGGUACCUGCGCCAUUGGCCUCCACAACCGCAACAUCGUGCCUGACAUCACAGACAACUUCAUCUGCCAGUGGGAGCAAUGUGAGCAACCCUCCUUUGCCAACCCAGAGUGGUUCUACCGCCAUGUGGAGAUGCACAGUAUGUGUAUGGACGUACCCUCUGCUGAUAAGGAGCUCUUGUUGCACUGUGGCUGGAAGGACUGCGAGGCCACGUUUAAAAGGCGUUUUAAGAUGCGGGAGCAUUUGCGGAGCCACACCGGGGAGAAGGUGGUGGCCUGCCCAAUCUGUGGAGGGAUGUUCGCCAACAACACCAAGUUCUUUGACCACAUCAGUCGGCAGACCACCAUUGAGGGUCAGAGGUUCCAGUGUUCCCACUGCUCCAAACGCUUUGCAACGGAGAGACUACUGAGGGACCACAUGAGGAAUCAUGUGAACCACUACAAGUGUCCAUUGUGUGACAUGACCUGCCCGUCCCCCUCAUCGCUGCGGAACCACAUCAAGUUCCGCCAUAGCAAUGAGAAGCCUUACAGCUGUGAAUACUGCGAGUACAGCUGUAAGAACCAGAUCGACCUUCGUAAACACAUGGACACCCACAGCACUGAGCCGGCCUACCGCUGUGACUUCACCAACUGUGACUACACAACACGCACACUGCACUCCAUCAAGAACCACUACAAGAAAGUACAUGAGGGAGAUUUUGUGGCUCGCUACAAGUGUCAUGUCUGUGAGCAGUGCUUCACUAGAGGGAACAGCCUCACUGCCCACCUCCGCAAGAAGCACCAGUUCAAAUGGCCCUCUGGACACCCCCGAUUCAGGUAUAAGGAGCAUGAGGACGGCUUCAUGCGUCUGCAGCUGAUCCGCUAUGAGAGCGUGGAGCUGACCGAGCAACUGAUGAGAGGGAGACCGGAGGGGGAGGACGCUGCCCGGACAGAUAUCCUGGGGCCUGGGGAGGAUGCCAGGGCAGUAGCACACUCCAUGGAGAGGCUGCUACUGAGGGACAGAAAACAGGCAACCAUGAGACUGUACUCAUUGCUGCUACUGCUCCUGGGGUCCUCACAUGGGUUGUUCACACAGCUGCCUGAGUUAAUGGAGGAUGAGGAAGGUAGCGGUGUGACAGAGGCGACUCCAGAGCCAGAACCUGUGGAUGACACCUACUGGUCAGGCACAGCCCCCAUCUGUAUGGGUGGUUGUAAGGGGAGACACCAGGAACUGAAGAAGGAUCGCUGUGGGGACUCUGACUGCUGCUGGUUUGGCUACAAAUCCCUCUGCAGAGUGAACUGUGGGAGGCCUGACGUGGACUAUAACGGGAUGGUGUACGGGAACGACUGGUGGGUGGGCUCAGUGGUCCGGUACGCCUGUCGCCCUGGCUUCCUAUUGGUGGGGGACCCUGCCCGAGCCUGCCAGUCCAAUGGAGGCUGGACCCCCAAACCCUCCUGUCUCAGGGUGUGUCGUCAGGGCCGUGUGGAGAUCACUGAGAAGGAGCUAGAAACGGCUACCUGCUCAUCCACCUGUCCUCUUAAGUCCUACAUGGGGCCUCUUAAGCAGGGCUGCUACCGCAUCGACAACUGCAGGAAGAUUAAUCCUGACUGGAAGCGCUGGUUCACCCGCUGUGACACGUGCCUGUGUGAUUGCCACAUCGCCUGUGCAUCUUUAGGUUAAAAGACGGACGUAUUCCACUAUUGAGUGACUAGAAUAUGUAUUGCAAAACAACCACAAGGAAUAUCAGUGACCAGCUUAACAUCACAGAUGCUCAUCGGAAUCUUAAUCGGAAUGCUGAAAUCCUCAUCGGACUACUGCUGCUUCAUCUGCUGUCGGAAGGAGGAUCAAAGGGGAACCUAGAGAGACAUCUCUGUGGAACUAACAAACAGUCUGUCGCGACAGACUGCUGUGGUCCUAACCUCAACCUCAUAGAGCACCGAGGCAAAGACACUCUACGUUUCCUCAACGAACUCCCCGACUACGUAAAGGACUCAUCGUGAGGCGUAGAUGAACAGUUUUGACGAGGCUAGAGGGGGAGGUCUCUCCAAGUGUAGAGAUUCUGUUGGGAUUAAUGAGUUGUCCUUUUAGCUCAACCUGCUCAUUCAAUCUGUCCUGGAACCUAGAAUGAGCUGGUUGUGGGGCUGAGACCUUAAUCUUGUUACUCACCGCAGCCCAGGGAAGAGGAGAGGUCAGAGGAGGGCCAGGUUAACUAUCUAACAGCAUGUUUACUAUACUGGGUGUGGAGAUAGCUUGGAGUACAUAAUAUGCAAUGUGUUUUAGUGUAUUUGCAAAUGGAUGGGAUACACUUUGUUGAUUAUUGUAUGUCUUUUAUUUAUCCUCAUGUUACAGCCAUUGGUUGGACUGUCUGUAUUGCUUAGAAGAUGUAGAUGGUUAACCAAAGUCAAGGUGCUUCCUCACUAACAAUGUUAGUUGUUGAUGAUUUGUUGUCUUCUUAUGAAUCCUGGUAAAAUGUAAUGUGAAACUACACACUCAACCAACUCAGUGUUUCGACCAUAGAGAUCUAGUUUCAUUAUAUUUCGAAUCCAUUCUAUUUAAUUAUGUGGUUUAGAUCAAGUGCUGAGCCGCAGGAUGUGUUCAUCUUCUUUGGGUUGGUAGCAGCCAACUCCUGCAAAGAAAUGAACAUGACCAAGUCAAACAUUAUUUUGUCUUUAGUAAUGCAAUGCUAAAAACUGCUUAUUACGCGCAGAAUAGAAUAAAAUACAAUUGUUUUGUACAUACUGGGAGAACAGAAGAAUAAGAGAUGACUCAUAAGCACUGUUUAGACCCACACUUACCUGCAUCCAUCCUGGUCUGAACCCCAGAUUACUCUUGACAGUAGCUCCCAGUAGGUUCGAUUGGCCUCCAUCCCAGCCACUCCAUUGACACGCUCCGUGGGAAGUCCUCUUUCACUGUGAACCUAUUAAAUGGAGAGCAACACGUGUAAGUUAAUCAUGCACAACAAGGCAGGAUAGAUUAUGAUGACUGACAAUACUGUACAACGUUUUGAUAAGAGAAAUGGACUUCGAUUUCUGGAAGUAUGUAAUUGUAAAAUGAGGAAGAAUUAAGCCUGAAAAUGUAUGAUAAUACAAGAGAUUACAUAGACCUCUCUGUCUAAUACAAUGUAUUUCAAUUAGUGAUUGUUCAUAAUGCUGAUGAUAAUGACCAAUGUUCCUUACUUGAAGUCGUGGUCUGUGUCCUCCAGUCUCCUCAUGGCCCCCAAUAGUACUCCCCCUUCCACCACAGAGCUGGAGUAGACCUGACCAGCCAAUUCUCCAUUGGACAGCUCAUUCUCCACAGACAGCCUGAUAGGCACUGCCACCCUCACUGGACCUACAGGAUGCAACAAGAACCCGAGAUAAUGAAGGCUUAUUAUGACCCUUUAAGUGGUAUCAGCAGCUGCAGAAGAGCCACAGAGAGGAGAGUUGUACGUCUUGGUGCCAUUAUGAUGAUUCUACUUGCUGUCUCAAUCCAGAUGUCUCUUGCUCGGUCACACACACAAGAUCACUACUUAUACUGUACCUGAUCCCAGUUUAUGAGCACAUUCCAGCCCCAUGUUGACAUGGUUUAUGUUUCGUAUUUAUUGUGGAAUAACGUCAGCACGCUCUUUAAGAACUCACGCUUAUGACAAAAUGGCUUUUCUUUCAAAUGUUCCCUUUUGCUCCAUUUAAGGAAACUUUUCACAAGGCCAUUCUUCUUCAAACAUAUUGUGAAUAGAAAGUGAUGUGUUAGCUUAGCUUGUCAUUGAUAUAAUAAAGCAGAAACCUGCAUUGA